AUAAAUAACUCCAAGUAAAUUUCACGUCUAGAGAAUGCAUAGAUAAGAAGAGAUAGGAUACACUAUCUAUCUAUUUCGCACAGCCAUUUUGCUUUGCUUUGAUAUUAAUUUGAUCAGAGCAGAUAUUAGAAACAAAAGAAUUCACACAAUCCAUCCGAACUAAUUUGGGACUAAGGUUUGCCCUUUUUAUGUUCGUUCAUUGUAUUCUUUGUUUUGAUUUUAUCAAAACCUUCAUGUGUUCCACUGGAAGAAAAAUAACAAAUUUGUAUGAAUUGAAAUUAUAUUUUAUCCCCAAAUCCAUUCCUAAAGCCUAUGUAUAUGAUUUGGAGUUGUAUUUCAUUUCUUCUAUAUGAUUCGAAACCGAAAGAAGGCCUUUAAUAUUUCAUUCCUUCUCCUCAGAAGAAACUCAAGCACCAUAUUAAUUGCUUAUCUAUAUAUUUUACUCUUGUUUAAUGAAUAUAAUCUUUUUAACUGUAACGUUAUUUCAGGAAAUGGGGACAUCACCAGAAGCUUAUGUAUUAGUCCUCUUAUGCCUUUUUCUAUCUUCAGGGCAUGGGAUUCAAGCUUUAUCCUAUGACUAUUAUGCAACAACUGAG
rnacentral:lncRNA from 1 species